ACAAAGAAAUUUGCCAAAUUAUUUGCCUGUAUGUCUUCCCAAGAUCCUUCAAAACAUCAGCAUCUGCAGAGCCUAACUCAGAGACAAUAGUACUAGUCCCCUUCAACAAAAAAUGGGACAGAGAGAGUAUACCCUCAAGGCUGGAAAAAUAUCUCAAAAUUUUUGUCUGGUUAGCAGAUUCAACAGCAGCAAGCUGAGUUCCUCCA
rnacentral:misc_RNA from 1 species